AAGCCAUGGCAACCAUUUCUCCUCUAUUCCAAGGCCUGUUAUCCUGUCAUGGAAAGAAAUGAGCUUGGUUUGAUGCGGUCUGUUCCCAGGUGUCUGACACAUGGUGAAUCACAGCCAUCAGCGCUAAUACAAGGCUCAGCUGAGGCAGAGGGAGGAGAGGAAGGAGGAGAAAGAAAGAAAAGGUUGGAAAUCACAGCCACCUGUCUGCAGCUGGGGUGCUUCUUAUCAGAGGAUGUGAGGUGAAGAAUCCUUGCAGACCUUGUGAGCAGGAGCUGCACUUUUUCCCGUUCCAGCUUCCCGGUUCCAGCUUCAGAAGGCAGUGAUGUUGCACUGCAGCCAAGCCCUCUCCGCCAGUCCCUCCAACAGACUGCACCAAAUGUAACUUCCUCUCCCUUCACUGCAUUACACAGUCUUGAAGUUCAUUAAUACCAAAUUUGGCAUUCGCUUUAUGCCUCGAAUACAAAUUUUAAAGGCCAGACAGGAAUUACCUGGAGGCCUCCCUCUUUGCACAGGAGACUGUACAGAACAGUAGCAGAAUAUUGCGCCCUUGCCUCUCAUUGACGGUUACCCACCCCGUGUUUUUAUUGGGUUAGGAGACUUCUUUUUACUGAAACUGAUUCUCAAAUGUCCACAGCCACAAAAUCUCUGCAGGCUACAAGUACAGCAGAAUUUUGAUCAUCUCUCACUCCUCAGCCUGCUUUCCUGGUGCUCCGCACUUUGAACAAUCAAAUUGAAGCAACUGUCUGCAGUUCCCAUGGAUUUAUUCUGAGCAAGGGCACCAAGAAUCCCCAGCAUCAGAAUUAAUCAUACAGAAUCAAGAAAAAUACGUUUAAAUUCAGCUGCAGCAGGGAACCUGCUAUGGGAUAAACUCUUGAGUUCUAGUGUACCCAGCAUCCCGCCUUGCCAUCCCUAUUGUGUUUCUAAAAAUGAAACUAGCUAUAUAAAUGAUUUUUACUGCCCAAGGUGAGAGAAAAGCAAAAGAAACAAACCACAAAACUACGUGAAAAGCUUUAAUUAGAACAGUAUUUUAUAAUUCUCAAAGGAGGUUUAAGGACAGUAUCAUAUGUACAGAAAUGUGUAACUUUAUUGUGUUGUGUGUUUGAAGAUUGAGACUGAGCACUUCCACCUUAUAACCUAAGCAUGAGCUGCAACUGAAAUAAUAACGCACACAAACAGAAAAUUCUGCAGUUUCAGAAACUAAUGGACACAAGAUUUCAAAUGAGGCCUCCAAAAUGUCAUCUGAGUGUCUGAAAUGUGGCCAUUCCCAGAGCCAGGGGUGCCCUGGGGGAAACACAGAGGCGAAGCUGUAUGGAUGGGGUAUGCGGUGGCUGCUGCAAUCAGAGCUGCUAAGAAACGUUCUGACUGAGGAGGAUCUUCAGGGAAUUACUUUUUCAGAAGAAUUUCAGAACACUGACACAGGGGAAGCUCAGAAGGUGUGAGGAGUGACUUGGCACAGAAACUAGAAUGGGGCUGCAGAGGCAAAGGUGCAAGGUUUAUCUGGCCUGUUGUUUUCAGAAAACAUGGCUGAAUGUGAAGCAGAAAUCUCCCCAGUAUAAGAACAUUUUUAGUGUGUUUGUUACUGCAUUUUUUGUGCUUUUUCACAUGAGUUUUCAUGCCUGCAGCCAGAUAGAGUGGGAAUAGCGAGCCGGUCAUUUCACACGCAGCCGAGGUUGACACACAGCAGCUGUGUGUGUGUCUGGUGGCCAUGAUUUGCAUGCAAACAGUGUCAUUAUCAAGUUGAUGGUUGACUGUUUCACCACACACAGGCCUUAUACACAUAAUGACACCUCGAACUGUCUUCAGAUCUGGCCUCCAAACCUCUGUUAAAAUUACAAGUUAGUUGACUGGUGAGAGCUUUGCUGAGGCUGGAAGACACGCAUGUAAAUUCUGAAGGCAGCGCUACAUCAGAAAUUUAACAAACCAGUAAGGACUGUGUAAGCAAGGAAAAAAGGGAAGCUUUGGUGGCUGAAAUGGCUGUGCUUCGGCAGGAUGUGCUGUUUGUCUGAGCCUUCACUCACACGUCCACGUCCCACUUAUGGCACCUGCCAGUAGUAGCAGUGACUGGGUGGCCUCUGGCUGUUCUAGGUAAUGGCUGUUGGAGAAGGGUUGCUCAAUCAGAAGCCCACUACGUCGCCGUCUCUUUGAAAUAGAGACUUCCUGCUCUGGACCAACGUUUUUAAAAACUUUUCCCCUUCCUUUUGAAAACCCUUUCUCACUUUGGGGUUAAAUCUUUCCUUGCUGUAACUCCCCCAGGGCUAAUCUGGCCCAUGUUUUUCCCUAUCUCUCAGCCAGAGAACCAAUUAAAAGAGAUCCUGACAAAUCACGGAGCAGAGGGAGUUAUUUCCUCACUAAAUGCUCUCCCUGGGCUAAAUCCUUUAUGUGAACUGCAGUCUUUUUGCUAGCCCAUGGGAAGCUGGUUGCAAACACAUCUGAUGUGUCUGCCCAUUCAGAAGACCUUCUUAUUUCAGCAGGAAAUAUCUGGGCCUACUCCUACUUGCUACUGCUCCUAAAUAUCCCCAGUGGAUAUCUCAGCAGCCAUUACACAGAGCCAGUCCUGAAAGCAGACAUUUUUUCCUAUUUUAUAAUGGGAGAGUUCAUUUAUGCUGAGAAUACAGUUUUUACCAGACUGCCUGCAGGACAAUACAAUAAAAGAUUUAUCCUUAAUAGCAUUUCACUGAAGUUUCACCACAGGAGACAGGGCUUUUUGUUGUGC